AAAAAGUCGGCCAAUCAAUGAAGGGUGGGCGUGUAUAUAUACAUAUAUGGAGAGGGAGAGCGAGAGAAGGCAGACGUGAGAGAGGAAAGGCAUGCGGGGAAGAAGUCCGCCAAUGAGUGAAGGGUGGGCGUGUAAGUGGACGCUAAAGGGACGCUCCAAGCAGGAACCAACACCUGUAUAGAUUGUGGCUAUGUGCAUUGUUGCAAAACAACUUCGGUUUUGGUUUCUAAGAACCCCCGAAAAUAAAUUCUACAAAGAGACACGCCUACAAAGCUCAGUUCAAACUUCAAGCCAUCGAUUAUGCUUUUGGCAUGCGUGCCCAUCUCA